rnacentral:lncRNA from 1 species
UUAAAUUAAAUUAAAUUAAAUGCUACAAGGCCAUAUUAUGAAAGUAACAAUAGUUUACAUUUCCUUUAAACUUAGUAUUUGUCGUACUAUGACCAAAUAGUUCUAUAAGUUGGCCUUUAUUACAUAAGAGGAAUGUCUGGUGAAUUCAGUGGAAACCCAUUUUGAGAUAAUCAGGAAAUAAGAUGUGUGAAGGGACCUUAAUGAGCCAGAAGGUAUUAAUCUGUGGAACAGAAGAUGAGAAAAAAUUUACUACUAGUCCACAAGUAUAAUUUUCCUGUAGCUUUACUAAGGAAAGUACUCAAGAAAAUUAGUUCAGAUUUAAUCACAAAAUAACUUAGGUCACAAGAAAGAAAUUUCUGAAUAUUAAAAAAGCCAUAUAAUCUUUAAGUCUAUGUAGACUUUAGAGCCAUAAUAGAUUCCCAACAUUUAGGAUUCAUGUAAGUAUAUUAUUGGCAUGAAAAUAGAAUUAUGGUAACUUUCAUGAUUUCUGACAUUGAUUGAGCAUUUAAUAUGUGCCAGGCUCAGUGGUAAAUGGUUUAGUGGAUUCUCAAUUUUAAUCUGUAUGACAGCACUGUGAGAUUGUGCCGUUAUUAUCCAUAUGCAUUUCAUAGAGAAGAAAUUAAGCUUAGAGAGUGGAGGCAACUUGCUUAGGUCUUAUAGUAAAUGAUGGACGUAGCCUUCAAACUGAGGUAAUUUGAUUCCAAAAGUGAAGUUCUCAUUCUCUAAAAUAUAUCCUCUUUAUGAUUCUGUUCUGUUUCCCCAUUUGUCCCCUAAAUCUCCUCAGGAGUUACUGUGGCAGUUGGACAUACUUGUAACAUUUGACUGUGACACCAAAUGUCCUAAUCUGAGUGGUUAGUUAACUCUUCAAAAAGCCUACAAAGCUAUCAUUGCCAUGGAGGUUCAUUUCCAGCACGGUCUCUUGUUUAAAUUUAUAUACCAUCUACUUUAUGCUGAUUUCAGAUUAGAAUAGUGGGAUGGGGGUUUUUGUUGGUCGUAUGCUGCACAGUUACAGAAAAAGCAAAACCACCCUGAUAUUACUGACUUAAAGAAGAACUGAAAGAUUAUGGCCUUUUACUUAUAUUGAACUUUGUUCAUUAUGAACAGGUUCAUUAUCUCUUCAUUGUGACUCAGUGUUUCUCAAUUUAUGCUUAUUUUUGACAUAAAUCCAAAACAAGUAUUUAUGAUUUAGUACUUCUUUAGGAAUGCAGGCUGAUUUGUAAUGAAGAAAUUUUAAUGAGGAAAUAACAUUGACUUUUUCUUCUUAGCUAAUGUUUAAAAUUAUUUGUCAUCUCAGGCUUAAGAGUACAAAGUUUCUCCCAUCCAAGUACUAACCAGGACCAACUCUGUUGCAUUUCUGAGAUCAGAUGAGAUCACAUGUACUCAGGGUGGUAUGGCCGUAGAUAUUAGUACAAAAUAUCUUAACAUGUUCUGUAGUUUCCUUCAAAUUGGAUAAAUUUAGUCCUGAAUUUCUUCAAUGACAUGAUUUGAAAAGUCUUUCAGAUACAACAACAAACAAAAAGUGGUUUUAUAUAUAGCAGUACUUUUCAAUAAUAAUUUCAUGGUUUUAAAAUUAUACUUAAGGCAAAUUUUCAACAAUUAUUUGUAUAAAGACUCAUUGAUUCUUCACUCUUGAAAUUACUAAAAACAAAAUUCACAAUACUGAUGCAGGAUUUUUUGCUCCUUAGCUCAGCUAGGUCUGGGUUCUUGUCUCAUGACCAGGAAAAAGUAGGCACAUGGAUACUCAAAGAAUGAGUGGAGUAGAAUUUUUUAAGUGAAAGGAAAGCUCUCAGCAAAGAGAGAGGGGCUCUGAAAGCGGGUUCCCAGUUUCCCCCCUUCUCAGUUGAAUACAAAGGCUUCUAUAUAUCUAAGCUGAUGGGGCUGGGUUCCUGGUUGCCCUCCUUUUCAGUUGAAUACAAGGGCUUCUAUAUAUCUAAGCUGAUGGGGCUGGGUUCCCUGUUUGCAUAAGGCACUAAUUCCCGGUGGCUCCACCUAAUCCCCCUAGUGCACAUGUGGCCCCUUAGGCCACUGCGGGCAUGUUUGGGC